CAUGUCUUUUUGAUUAUAAUUUAAAGUCUGACCUGCCCAAUGAGGAGUUGAAUGGCCGCGGUAUUUUGACCGUGCAAAGGUAGCAUAAUCAUUAGUUUUUUAAUUGAAAGCUGGUAUGAAUGGUUGGACGAGAAAAUGACUGUCUCAAUUUAAUUUGAAUUAGAACUUUAUUUUUAAGUAAGAAAGCUUAAAUGAUUUUAAAAGACGAGAAGACCCUAUAGAGUUUAAUAUUUUUUUGUAUAGGAUUAAUUUAGUUAUUAGGCAUUCCUAUAUAAAUAAGUAUUUUGUUGGGGUGACAGAAAAAUUAAAGUAACUUUUUCUUACUAGUUGACAUUUAUUUAUGAACCAUUGAUCCGUAUGUUACGAUUACAAGAUUAAAUUACCUUAGGGAUAACAGCGUAAUUUUUUUUGAGAGUUCAUAUCGAAAAAAGAGUUUGCGACCUCGAUGUUGGAUUAAAAUUAACUUUUGGUGCAGGAGCUAAAAGGUUAGGUCUGUUCGACCUUUAAAAUUUUACAUG
rnacentral:rRNA from 1 species